rnacentral:rRNA from 1 species
CUACGGAAGGUCCGGGCGUUAUCCGGAUUUAUUGGGUUUAAAGGGUGCGCAGGUGGCCAUUUAAGUCAGCGGUUAAAUCGUGGGGCUCAACCCCAUUCUGCCGUUGAUACUGGGUGGCUUGAUUGCGGUCGAGGUUGGCGGAAUUCGUUGUGUAGCGGUGAAAUGCAUAGAUAUGACGAAGAACACCGAUUGCGUAGGCAGCUGACCAGACCGCAAAUGACGCUCAUGCACGAAAGUGCGGGGAUCGAACAGGAUUAGAUUCCCUGGUAGUCCGCACAGUAAACGAUGAAUACUUGUUUUCGGCGAUAUAAUGUCGGAGGCAAAGCGAAAGCGAUAAGUAUUCCACCUGGGGAGUACGCCGGCAACGGUGAAACUCAAAUGAAUUGACGGGG